UUGAGUUCUAUAGCAACUGGAGCGGCUAUAUCUCAAAAGUUGAUUCAAGUUUGUUUUUGUGUUUGAAUUUCGUAUCAGAGUAAUCAUGUAGACGCAUUUACAUGAAUUUUGAAAAUUUUUGGCCAGAAGAAUCAUCGCAAAGUUAUGUCUUUUGGACUGACAAGUGACCAAAGAUCUACUGUUGAUACAUUCACAGGACAAAAUUCCAGCACAGUAUCCCCAAGACACUGUCUUUCUGUAAAUGCAUUUAUUCGUUGUCUUGGAGUCAGAAACAAUAAAUUGUAUGUCGACUGUUUGCAAGUAUCAGUGUAGGUGCUAUAUUAUUUAAAAACAUAGUGCAUCAAGAUACAUUCACAAUUUCA